CCUACGGGUGGAUGCAGUGGGGAAUAUUGGACAAUGGGGGCAGCCCUGAUCCAGCAAUGCCGCGUGUGUGAAGAAGGCCUGCGGGUUGUAAAGCACUUUUGUUGAGGAAGAAUGUGUUUGGGUUAAUAGUCCAAAUGCUUGACGUUACUCAAAGAAAAAGCACCGGCUAACUCCGUGCCAGCAGCGGCGGUAAUAC
rnacentral:rRNA from 1 species